rnacentral:rRNA from 1 species
AUGGGCGAGAGAAUCUGUGCCAACGAUCUCGUUGGAGUCUACAAGGGAGACAGGCGGAGCGGAGUUCGGCCGCUGCCACGUCGUGGGCAGAUAAAGCUGAGGAUCAUGCACAUCGUGAUGCACUCAGUCGCGUUGGCGCUUCAAAAUCUUGAUCACAAGUGA